GGAAUGCGGCCGAAACAUACGGAGUACAAUCUUGGACGACUGGACCAGAAAUCGACUGUGUCCGAACUUGUGUACAAAUAUUUGAGAAAAGUAUCGCAUUCAAAUAGCAUUCAGAGGCAACGCAACAAUGCAUGCCAGAAAUUUCGUAAAUCUAAGAAAAGGAAAAGGAGCAUACAUUUGCGCGAUCGUAUGACCGCAGCGUACAACGAUGCAAGAAAUUACAUACGGGAUGCACUUUCAUUGGCCGUGAGUUCCGGAUAUCUAAUACCAGCAGACCAAACCGGAAGGAUCCUUCGACUUUCACCAUCUUUCGAACUAUAUGGCGGAUCAUCUUAAAUUGUUGUUCGACGAACGAUCCUUAACCGAAGAUGACCAAUUAUAAAUAUCUAUGAAAUUACAAAGAACGAAAAAUAAAUUGAGAAACAGA